GCGUGCGGGAAGAAGGCCUUCGGGUUGUAAACCGCUUUUGUCAGGGAAGAAAAGCUUCGGGUUAAUACCCUGGAGUCAUGACGGUACCUGAAGAAUAAGCACCGGCUAACUACGUGCCAGCAGCCGCGGUAAUACGUAGGGUGCGAGCGUUAAUCGGAAUUACUGGGCGUAAAGCGUGCGCAGGCGGCUGUGCAAGACAGAUGUGAAAUCCCCGGGCUCAACCUGGGAACUGCAUUUGUGACUGCAUGGCUAGAGUGUGGCAGAGGGGGAUGGAAUUCCGCGUGUAGCAGUGAAAUGCGU
rnacentral:rRNA from 1 species